rnacentral:sRNA from 1 species
UGCGCAUUCCCACUAAUGCCCUGUGGCUG